ACCUACCGACAGCCUCUGCUUGGUCUUCAAAUGCCUCAUCUUCUUUUACUGUACAUUGCAUUCUUAUCUUCACUUUUGCUUUUCAAUUUCACACGUCUCCUCUGCCUUUGAACGACACCCCCUUCCUCACUCUUCUCUUUCAUUUUCCUGCGUUUCCUUUUGAUUCUUUUGGGUUCGGUCGAUGAAGCCUGCACGCUUCCCUUAUCACCACCGACAGCCUUCUGCCCCAUUUCCCCACCGAUUCCUCUCUGCCACGUCCGAGUUUCCUCCAAGCUCGGUCGACCGAAGAAGCGCCCCCCAGCCGUGUUGACUCCCCUGCCAGCGAAGCUCACCUUCGUUUGUCUCCAUCCUCUGAGCAGCCCCGCACCUUCGGUCCCUCAUCUCUGCCUCCACCGAACACCUCUCAUCUCCUGCCAUUGUUCGCGCCUGCCCACCUCACGCCCACGCGUCCACAGCUUCUACCUUUGAAGUCACCGUUGCCGAUUUGUUGACCCCGAGUCUCCUCGGCCAACCGUUCGCGUGAGACUUCCAUGGAGCAGCUCCCAUCUUCACUCGUGGAUCAGCCCUGCAAUCCUUUCCGCUAGUUUGUUAAUCGUGGAUCUCCGCUCGUCCAGCGUCAAGAGACCGAAUCAGCCGCGUCUUCUCUCUCUAUCGUCCGAGGCAGUCCCUGUCCGUGUCUUCGAGCAGCCGUCUUCAGCACGUCCAUUUCAGCCCAUAAGAAGUCAGCCCAAUUCAGCAGCUCCAUUCAAGCCCACGAGCCCAAAUGAGUUCAGUCCAUCAAAAGCCCAGCGAAAUUUUGAGGCCCAAGCCCGUGAAGUCAGGCCCACCGAAUCAGUGGACUCAGCCCAGCUCGAGCAGCGAGCUUGUAGGCCGAUUUCGGCCCCGAUUUGACCCCGGUUGGCGGACCCGCUUCGGAUGGGAUUGACCCUUGUCGCCUGCUCGUCGAUUUGGUCCGAUUGGCUCGUUAAUCAAGACUCUGAUGAAGAACCUGAGGAGAAAGAACUCGAAGAGGAGUAUCUGAAGGAGAACCCCGAGGAUGAUCUAGAGUAGGAUCCUGAUGACUGUUGCUGUAGAAUCUAAUUGAGUGUAAACCAACAUUUUUAGCAUGGUUUGUAUAUGUACAUGUAUGACUGAGUCAUUGUAGGUCUACAUAAGGGUGUUGGUUUUCAUGUUCAAUUUUCUAGUCCUACUUAUAUAUCCCAUUGCUUUAUGGUC